UACGGAGGAUGCGAGCGUUAUCCGGAUUUAUUGGGUUUAAAGGGUGCGCAGGCGGAAUGUCAAGUCAGCGGUAAAAUUUCGGGGCUCAACCCCGUCGUGCCGUUGAAACUGGCGUUCUUGAGUGAGCGAGAAGUAUGCGGAAUGCGUGGUGUAGCGGUGAAAUGCAUAGAUAUCACGCAGAACUCCGAUUGCGAAGGCAGCUUACCAAGCUACUUCUGACGUUGAGGCACGAAAGCGUGGGGAGCAAACAGG
rnacentral:rRNA from 1 species